rnacentral:rRNA from 1 species
UACAGAGGGUGCAAGCGUUGUUCGGAAUUACUGGGCGUAAAGCGUGACGCAGGCGGUUUUCCAAGUUCAGUGGUGAAAGCCCGGAAGCUCAACUCCGGAACUGCCAUUGAAACUGUGAAAACUAGAGUACGAGAGAGGUGAGUGGAAUUCCCAGUGUAGAGGUGGAAAAUUCGAUAUGAUAUUGGGUAAGGAAACAACCCGGGUGGG